GCGAGCUGGUACUGCACAGGUGUCCUAUUGUAAAGAUUUGAAGGACUUCGGAAAAUGAUCUCCGCUUUCCUUUUUCGAAGAUCCUCAGAAUUACUAAGAAAAUGCAUCGGACCCCAUGCGCCUCCUCCCCCACGCCAAACCUUCGGGCUUCGCACGACGGGUGAACUAUUGCUGUCGACAGCAACCAAUUCACGCCUUUACACCAAAACAGCCACAGCCGCACCAAACAUGCCGCUGGGUCGGUACCGCGAGCUGUUGAUAGGAUGCCAGAAGUCCGGUAUUAACCCCAGUUCUGGUACGCGUAUAGCGUGUUGUGAUGCCUGCUAGGCAGAGCUUAGGAGUACCCAAGGCUGCUAGGCAUCAUCUGUCCAAGCAGGUCAAGACAGAGCUGGAACCAGAAAACAAGUAAAUUCAGUAAUUUGGCAUAAAAGCAAUGAAAUCAGUCAACAAUGCAAUGAGCCUGAAAAGGUUCAUGCUGAGGCAGGAGGUUCUCCACAUGUACAGAGAUAUCCUGAGAGCAUUGAGAGGAGUUCCAGAGAAGGAUAGGAGUGCAUUGAAGACGUGGGUCAGGGAGGAGUUUGAACUUCAUCGGUCUGUUGAGGAUGAG